UGAUCCUCUUAACUUCAGAAAAGACGGCCUGGGACCACUGGUGCCAGAAAGACCGGACUCUCCUUCACCAAGUGGCGUUUCCUUAAAAAGUGACCACUCUAAGGAUGAUCCUCUUAACUUCAGUAAAGGCAGCCUGGGACCCCUGAUACCAGAAAGACCAGACUCUCCUUCACCCAGUGGCGUUUCCUUAAAAAGUGACCACUCUAAGGAUGAUCCUCUGAACUUUAGUAAAGGAAAAUCAGGACCACUGGUGCCAGAAAGACCGGACUCUCCUUCACCCAGUGGCGUUUCCUUAAAAAGUGACCACUCAAAGGAUGAUCCUCUUAACUUCAGAAAAGACGGCCUGGG